UUCGAUUUUUGUUUUACGUCUUGUUCGAAUAUCUUUAAAAGUUGGGCUAGUAAACGAGUAAAACUGGUAACAAGAAUCCCCAGCGCUUCUACGUCACGAAUGCAGAAAUACGGAAACCGGCAGUUCCUAAACCAGAAUCGAGGACAAUCCAAAGCAUCGCCUAACAUUACGGGCAAGCAGAGUCGCCGGAUCCUCAAGUGCAUACCCGCAUACACAAAUCGGAGUGUGCCAAAUGUUUGUAUCUUCCAGCCAAAGCACCGAAAUACAGCGAAAAAUGUGUUGUUUUCAAGGUAGUUUCAAACUGAAUACAUCGCAGUCAGGAACCGAACUGGAAACCGGAAAAAUUGAGCUGCUGCUAGAUGAUGGCGAAAGGAACUAUCAAACCAACGUUCGAAUACCGCUUUUCCGAUGGUAUUCGGUCCUGAAAGUGAUAUUACAGAGCUGGACAAACUAGGAAGCUAGGAAUGAUAACACUACUCGAUGCUUAUGGAAUACGGCUUGCCACCAGACACUAACACGUUUGUGGCGUUCUUGUCUCAGGAUAACCAUAGUGGAUUCUACAAAAGUGGACGGCUCGCUAGUUUUGAAAUGUAUUCAUUUUACAUGUUAAUAGAGA